rnacentral:rRNA from 1 species
CAAGUCGAGGGGCAGCAUUUCAGUUUGCUUGCAAACUGGAGAUGGCGACCGACGCACGGGUGAGUAACACGUAUCCAACCUGCCGAUAACUCGGGGAUAGCCUUUCGAAAGAAAGAUUAAUACCCGAUGGUAUAAUUAGACCGCAUGGUCUUGUUAUUAAAGAAUUUCGGUUAUCGAUGGGGAUGCGUUCCAUUAGGCAGUUGGCGGGGUAACGGCCCACCAAACCAACGAUGGAUAGGGGUUCUGAGAGGAAGGUCCCCACAUUGGAACUGAGACACGGUCCAAACUCC